GACGAACGCUGGCGGCGUGCUUAACACAUGCAAGUCGAACGGUGACGAGGAGCUUGCUCCUCCGAUCAGUGGCGAACGGGUGAGUAACACGUGAGCAACCUGCCCCAGACUCUGGGAUAACAGUUGGAAACAGCUGCUAAUACCGGAUACGAGACGGAGAGGCAUCUCUACCGUCUGGAAAGUUUUUCGGUCUGGGAUGGACUCGCGGCCUAUCAGCUUGUUGGUGAGGUAAUGGCUCACCAAGGCGACGACGGGUAGCCGGCCUGAGAGGGCGACCGGCCACACUGGGACUGAGACACGGCCCAGACUCCUACGGGAGGCAGCAGUGGGGAAUAUUGCACAAUGGGCGAAAGCCUGAUGCAGCGACGCCGCGUGAGGGAUGACGGCCUUCGGGUUGUAAACCUCUUUCAGCAGGGAAGAAGCGAAAGUGACGGUACCUGCAGAAGAAGCACCGGCUAACUACGUG
rnacentral:rRNA from 1 species